CGCAACACACAAUACAUGCGAUUGAAUCAACUAUUAUCUACGCGUACUUUUGUAUACAGAUUUUAUUAUACUAUUUUAUGUGAGGAUUAAAACUCUUACAAAAACAUGUUUCUACCCACACCUCCAGAAUGGUACAUUCGUCCAAACUGGGUAGCUGGCUUUUCCUGUUUUUCCGUUCUUUCUCUAAUACUACAUGUCAUUGCAAUGGUAGCACCGUAUUGGGGAGUGUUUAGUAUUUCUUCUCUCGGAAUAACAACAUCAGUCUAUUUUGGACUUUGGUCAAAAUGUACUGCAAUGAACACAGGAAACACAGUUUGUCUUGAUUGGACUCCCAGUACAAGUUCAGGUGCACUGAAAGCGACACAAACUUUUGGAAUGAUUGGUGUAUUAACCGCCAUGGCCGGCUCUUUUUUAUUUGUUUUAAUGGCAUUAAAAAAACUUAUGUCUAGGCCUGCCUUAAUUGUCAACAUUAUAGCAUUCUUUGUCUCUGCUGCUUCCAGUUUCCUUGCAAUCAUUUCAUUCAUUAUAACAUUUGUGAUGACCCCAGAUUCCGAUAGUCCUUCGUGGUGUUUCAUAUUACUAUUUUUUCCUACAGUAAUAUGUGGUUUGAUUGGAGGUUAUCUACUCUUAUUUGCUAAAAAGAAAAGGAUAUUAUUUCAAAAACCUCGCGAACCUAUUGAUUAUAUAAAACCUCCAGUUUCAGCAGGCUUGCCUACGAAGUCAAAGAUUAAGGUCAGGACUAUCAAUGAACCACAAAAAGUAGACGAAGAAGAGGCUAAAAGGAACAAAGAACUAAUUGACAGUAAAAUCAUAUGAAUUGGUUUUUCGAGAUUGUAUUCAUAAUUUUUAUACAGACUUCAAAUGUUA